UGGGGAAUAUUGGGCAAUGGGCGCAAGCCUGACCCAGCAACGCCGCGUGAAGGGAGAAGGCUUUCGGGUUGUAAACUUCUUUUCUCAGGGACGAACAGAUGCCGGUACCUGAGGAAUAAGCCACGGCUAACUACGUGCCAGCAGCCGCGGUAAUACGUAGGUGGCAAGCGUUAUCCGGAUUUACUGGGUGUAAAGGGCGUGUAGGCGGGAAAGCAAGUCAGAUGUGAAAACCAUGGGCUCAACCUGUGGCCUGCAUUUGAAACUGUUUUUCUUGAGUACUGGAGAGGCAGACGGAAUUCCUAGUGUAGCGGUGAAAUGCGUAGAUAUUAGGAGGAACACCAGUGGCGAAGGCGGUCUGCUGGACAGCAACUGACGCUGAGGCGCGAAAGCGUGGGGAGCAAACAGGAUUAGAUACC
rnacentral:rRNA from 1 species